rnacentral:lncRNA from 1 species
GGAGAGGGUGGCAGUGGAGGUCACUCCCUAUAAUGUGGAGCAUAGCAGCCACCUGCUGGUCACAGCGCAGUAGGAAGAACACAAAGCCCUGGAGUGAGGCAGAGGGGCCCUGGCUCCUCAGUGGCUCUCCAGCGCCCUCUAUUGACAAAGCCUAACCUGGCACCAGAUGACAAAUGGAACUGAGAGGUAAUAAAUUGAUAACCCACAGGUAAGUGAUGGGGCCCCUGCUAUUAAUAAAAACAACAGUAAUAAUAACGACUACCAUGGAAUUCUCAGUGCUGUCUGUGUCAUUUAUCCCGGAAUCGCUGGUGAAGGUUGAUGGGGAGGGGGGAUUGUGGUCCAUUUGCCUCCAGGGUCGGCUCACCCUUCCCUAGGCUCAGGCUUAGGGUCUGAGCCUGCUCUGGGCAAGCACCCUCUCCCUCCUCCCAGACCAGACCCUAUAGAUGGAGCUGACUCCAUCCCUGCUCCAAGGGCAGGCGUGUGCCCCGGAAUCUGCACUUUCCCCAGCCCCACACGUGAUGGCACAGCACAGUGUCAAACCUAGACAAUGAAAAACAUUCCAGAGGGGGCACCAGGCCCUCUCACCGUUUUUUGCUUUGUUUUGUUUUGUUUUUGUUUUUUGAGAUGGAGUCUUGCUCUGCCACCCAGGCUGGAGUGCAGUGGCACGAUCUUGGCUCACUACAACAUCCACCUCCCAGGUUCAAGUGAUUCUUCUAUCUCAGCCUCCUGAGUAGCUUGGAUUACAGGCACAUGCCACCACAUCUAGCUAAUUUUUGUAUUUUUAGUAGAAACAGGGUUUCGCCAUGUUAGCCAGGCUGGUCUCGAACUCCUGACCUCAGGUGAUCUGCCUGCCUCAGCCUCCCAAAGUGCUGGGAUUACAAGUGUGAACCACCAUGCCCAGUCAUCUUUUUUUUUUUUUUUUUUUUGAGACUGUUAUCUGGGCUGACAGAGUCAGUGGUGCCAUCUUGGCUCACUUCAGCGACGACUGCCAUACUCAAGUGAUCCUCCUGCCUAAGCUUCCUGAGCAGCUGUGAUGCAGGUGCUUGCCACCAUGGCCAGCGAUUUUUAAAAAUUUUUUUAUUGUUUUGUAGAGACAGGGUCUCACUAUGUAGCCUAGGCUGGUCUCGAACUCCUCAAGCGUUCCUCCCGCCUUGGCCUCCUAAAGUGCUGGGAUUACAGGCGUAAGCCACCGCGCCCCCCCGCCCGGCUAGGUUUUUGUUUUGUCUUUCAUUCUUUUAUUUUUCUCCUUAGCACUUAUUAGCCUCUAACAUGUGUUUUUCUUAUUGGUUUUAUCUAUUUUCCCCUCUAGAAGGUAAGCUUUAUUUAUUUAUUUAUUAAGCUCUUUUAAAUCUGGGAAGAGUUCCUGUAAGCUUUAUUAUCUGAUUCCCAGGAAGCUUGUAGCCAUUUUUCUAACACCAGCCAAGGACGCGGGGACCAGAGAGGAGGAAUUGGUGGGCGUGGGACACCUGAGGAAAGGGCAGGGGUGUGUGUUUUUACGUUUUAGUUAAAAAAAAAAAAAAAGAACCAACUUGCCCUCAUGGAAGGAGUGUAAGCAAAAGUGGAUGUAGUCAGAGGCAUGUGCCUGGCUUGAUUGCUAUAUAACACAGUUUCUUAUUUCCAUUCUGUGAUCUCAGAUGGUGAGAGAGAGAGCUUGGCUCAGUGGAGCAAGAGAGAGAAAGAGAUACCUGGAGAGGUGGCAAGGGGCCAAGCCACACGGGCCCUCAGUGCGAGGAGCCGGCCUCUGAGUUUGGGGGCUGGGGCGGACAAACCUGUCCUGCAGGCAGGCCCGCCUGGGUGAGGCCACGCUGCUGCCGGUCUGACUGAGCCACACUCUGCAGGUAUAUGGUAGGAUGGAGCCCGAAAGCCAAGUGGCAGAUGUGGGUCAGAGAUGGCGGCCUACCUACCUGACUGCCCAGAGGUCAGAGGUCAGGUCAAACCCCGGCCUCCCAUCUAGCAAGUCCUGGCCUAUUAUUAUUAUUAUUGAGACGGGGUCUUGCUAUUGCCCAGGCUGGAAUGCAGUGGCACCAUCACAGCUCACUACAGCCCCUACCUCCUGGGUUCAAGCGAUCUUCCCACCUCAGCCUCCCGACUAGCGGUUACUACAAGUGCGCACCACUAUGGCCAGCUAAUUUUUAAAUUUUUUGGAGAGAUGAGGUCUCACUAUGUUGGCCAGGCUGGUCUGGAAAUCCUGGCCUCAAGCAAUCCUCCUGCCUCAGCUCCCAAAAUGCUGGGAUUACAGGCGUGAGCCACUGUGCCCAGCCCUGACCUGUCUUACUGAGAGGUGACAGCGUGCUGGCAGUCCUCACAGCCCUCGCUCGCUCUCGGCGCCUCCUUUGCCUGGGCUCCCACUUUGGCAGCACUUGAGGAACCUUCAGCCCGCUGCUGCACUGUGGAAGCCCCUUUCUGGGCUGGCCAAGGCCGGAGCCGGCUCCCUCAGCUUGCGGGGAGGUGUGGAGGGAGAGGCGCAGGCGGGAACCGGGGCUGCGCGCGGUGCUUGCGGGCCAGCGCCGAGUUCCGGGUGGGCGUGGGCCCGGUGGACCCCGCGCUCAGAGCGGCCGGCCGGCCCCGCCGGCCCCGGGCAGUGAGGGGCUUAGCACCUGGGCCAGCAGCUGCUGUGCUCAAUUUCUCGCCGGGCCUUAGCUGCCUUCCCGCGGGGCAGGGCUUGGGACCUGCAGACCGCCAUGCCUGAGCCUCCCCUCUCCCCGUACCCCGUGGGCUCCUGUGCGGCCUGAGCCUCCCCGACGAGCGCCGCCCCUGCUCCACGGCACCUAGUCCCAUCGACCACCCAAGGGCUGAGGAGUGCGGGCGCACGGCGUGGGACUGGCAGGCAGCUCCACCUGCAGCCCCAGUGCGGGAUCCACUGGGUGAAGCCAGCUGGGCUCCUGAGUCUGGUGGGGAGGUGGAGAACCUUUAUGUCUAGCUCAGGGAUUGUAAAUACACCAAUCGGCACUCUGUAUCUAGCUCAAGGUUUGUAAACACACCAAUCAGCAUCCUGUGUCUAGCUCAGGGUUUGUGAAUGCACCAAUCGACACUCUGUAUCCAGCUACUCUGGUGGGGACUUGGAGAACCUUUGUGUGGACACUCUGUAUCUAGCUAAUCUAGUGGGGACAUGGAGAACCUUUGUGUCUAGCUCAGGGAUUGUAAACGCA